rnacentral:sRNA from 1 species
AGCUACAUCCGUCACCUGACACGGCCCUACCAGGAACAGCCGCGCUCCCGCGGAUUCUGGUGCUGCUCGCGUCCCCGCUCCCCUAUUCCCCUUAUUUUAUUCCUGGCUCCCCUCGUCGAAAGUCUUCCAUUCUUCAAACUAGAUUAUUUAAAAAUGAAAAAGGAAGAAAGGAAAGCGAGGUCAUCUCAUUGCUCUAUCCGCCAAUCAGGAGGCUGAAUGUCAGUUUUGAACUAAAAGCCGCUCCGCUCCUCUUCUAGAUUUGGAAAACAAGCGAAAUUAAACUAAACCGCUGCACGCCUCUGACGCGACAUCUGGACACGGCGCGGCGCUGGCGCUGCCGGAGCUGUCGACCCGGCCUGGCGCCGGACUAGUGUCCCUUUUGAUGAGAAGAAUAAGCCUCAUUCUGAUUCAACAGCAGAGAUCAAAGAAAAGACUUCUGUUUUCUGGCCACCAGAUAUAUGUUAUCUGUGCUUAAAGAAUUGAAAAACACACAUCAAAGGAGAAUUUUCUUGGAAAGAGAGGGUUCAAGCAUCACUGUUAGGUGUGCUGGAAUCCUUUCCCGAGUCAGUACUGCUUUCUAGAAGAAAACCGGGGAGAUCUAUUUGGAAUGUAUCUAACUCCAAAGAAACCAUCAGAGGUAACAGAUUGGCUUCUCUCACAUGGCAAGAAACAUUGCUGCUAGCACUUCCCGAGUUCUACGUUCUACAACAUCCACCACUGCUAUGUCUCACAGUCCAGACUUGGAGUACAAGUAAUAAGAAGAAUAAAACUUAAUCCCUUAAGUAGAUUCACCAUAAGUUAGCUCAGAGCAAUUCCAGUGCAAGUAUGGUCUGUGAUCCAGUAGUAUCUUACAGACAGCAAGUUGAACAUUGUGGGAUGCAUGAGCUAUUGAGGCCUUUGCAGCUUUCUGCUACAUGGAGGCUAGGGCCAGAGUCAAGAUUUAUGCUUUGCAGCACACUGGUCAGCUGUUUUUGCAAAUCAGAUUAAAUGAUUUUUAAAUGAGGCUGAGAGCAUGGGAGAUACUAAUGUGUGUUUCCUUGUGAGCUACUGCAUAAGUUAGGAAAUUGAAAUACAGAAAGAUGAAAAGUGAUUUGCCCAAGCAUAUAGAUCAAAGCUGUGGCAGAACCAGGACUGGAACCUAUAUCUCUCUACUAAUGGUUUUUUUAAAAAAAUAACCUUGUUUCAAAAAUAUUAAAAAGUCACAAGAAAGGUAAACAUGUGGAUAAACAAAAUGAAGAAAAUAAAAAUUAUCCAGUAAUAACAUAUUGGCAUAUGUCUUUCUGGUAUAUUUUCCUGUGUUGUCAUCAUUAUCAUCUCCAUCAUCAUUAUAUCCAUCAUUAUCAUCAUCAUCAUCAUCAUCAUCAUCAUUAUCAUCACCAUAGUGAACAUGUAAUGCUUACCUAGUGCCAGAUGCUGUCUAGGCAUUUUACAUGUGUUACUGGUAACUCAUGUAAUCCUCAUAACAACCUUAUAAGGUGGUUGCUAUUAUCCCCAUGUUACAUAUGAAGAGACAGAAGCAUAAAGAAGUUGCACCGCUGGUAAUUGGCUGGGAUUUGAACUUAAGCAGUCUAACCUUAGAGUAAUGAUUUUAACAACUAUGCUAUAUACAUACAAAUUUACAAAAUAAAACUGGGCUCAGACAAUAAAAAAAAAAAAAAAAAAAAAAAAA